rnacentral:rRNA from 1 species
UACGGGGGGGGCAAGCGUUGUUCGGAAUUACUGGGCGUAAAGGGCUCGUAGGCGGCCAACUAAGUCGGAUGUGAAAUCCCCAGGCUCAACUUGGGAACUGCAUCCGAUACUGGAUGGCUUGAAUUCGGGAGAGGGAUGCAGAAUUCCAGGUGUAGCGGUGAAAUGCGCAGAUAUCAGGAAGAACACCCGUGGCGAAGGCGGUUCUCUGGGACGGUACUGACGCUGAGACGCGAAAGCGUGGGGAGCGAACAGG